UACGUUCUACUUGCAGCCCUGUGGAUUACUAUGAGACCUCAGUGAAAUGAGUGUUGUUUAUAAGACUAUUUCCGCCCGGCUGGGCGUGAACUCCUGGGCUCAAGUGAUCCUCCCACCGCAGCCUCCCAAAGUGCUGGGAUUACAGGCGUGAGCCACCGUGCCUGCCCAACCAAUACUUAAGAACCAAACACACAUCCUUAGGUCUCCACGAGCUCUCAGGAGAGGAGCAUUUUAAGUGUUCACUACACCUCUUUUUCAGAUAUUGAGAUUAAGGUCCCCACAAAGGAAAAACUGUACACAAGGACACACAGCUGGUCAAGGAGCCAGACUCGAACCCAAGUCUCCAUUCUCUCCCCCAGGUUGAAUCAUGAGACUUCCCACUGCUCCCAGGAAAAAGACCAAUAUCUUUUCCAUGGCCAGCAUAGCCCCAAACCAUCUAAAUCCUGCCUACCUGGGCAGAUCACUUGAGGCCAGGAGUUUGAGACCAGCCUGGCCAACAUGGUG
ensembl:lncRNA novel transcript, antisense to ZNF668